rnacentral:rRNA from 1 species
GAUGAACGCUGGCGGCGUGCCUAAUACAUGCAAGUCGAGCGAACAGAUGAGGAGCUUGCUCCUCUGACGUUAGCGGCGGACGGGUGAGUAACACGUGGAUAACCUACCUAUAAGACUGGGAUAACUUCGGGAAACCGGAGCUAAUACCGGAUAAUAUAUUGAACCGCAUGGUUCAAUAGUGAAAGACGGUUUUGCUGUCACUUAUAGAUGGAUCCGCGCCGCAUUAGCUAGUUGGUAAGGUAACGGCUUACCAAGGCAACGAUGCGUAGCCGACCUGAGAGGGGGUUCGGCCACACUGGAACUGAGACACGGUCCAGACUCCUACGGGAGGCAGCAGUAGGGAAUCUUCCGCAAUGGGCGAAAGCCUGACGGAGCAACGCCGCGUGAGUGAUGAAGGUCUUCGGAUCGUAAAACUCUGUUAUUAGGGAAGAACAAAUGUGUAAGUAACUAUGCACGUCUUGACGGUACCUAAUCAGAAAGCCACGGCUAACUACGUG